rnacentral:rRNA from 1 species
UGCAAGUCGAACGGAAAGGUCUCUUCGGAGAUACUCGAGUGGCGAACGGGUGAGUAACACGUGGGCAAUCUGCCCUGCACUUCGGGAUAAGCCUGGGAAACUGGGUCUAAUACCGGAUAGGACCACUUGGCGCAUGCCUUGUGGUGGAAAGCUUUUGCGGUGUGGGAUGGGCCCGCGGCCUAUCAGCUAGUUGGUGGGGUGAUGGCCUACCAAGGCGACGACGGGUAGCCGGCCUGAGAGGGUGUCCGGCCACACUGGGACUGAGAUACGGCCCAGACUCCUACGGGAGGCAGCAGUGGGGAAUAUUGCACAAUGGGCGCAAGCCUGAUGCAGCGACGCCGCGUGGGGGAUGACGGCCUUCGGGUUGUAAACCUCUUUCAGCAGGGACGAAGCGCAAGUGACGGUACCUGCAGAAGAAGCACCGGCCAACUACGUGCCAGCAGCCGCGGUAAUACGUAGGGUGCGAGCGUUGUCCGGAAUUACUGGGCGUAAAGAGCUCGUAGGUGGUUUGUCGCGUUGUUCGUGAAAACCGGGGGCUUAACCCUCGGCGUGCGGGCGAUACGGGCAGACUAGAGUACUGCAGGGGAGACUGGAAUUCCUGGUGUAGCGGUGGAAUGCGCAGAUAUCAGGAGGAACACCGGUGGCGAAGGCGGGUCUCUGGGCAGUAACUGACGCUGAGGAGCGAAAGCGUGGGGAGCGAACAGGAUUAGAUACCCUGGUAGUCCACGCCGUAAACGGUGGGUACUAGGUGUGGGUUUCCUUCCUUGGGAUCCGUGCCGUAGCUAACGCAUUAAGUACCCCGCCUGGGGAGUACGGCCGCAAGGCU